rnacentral:lncRNA from 1 species
CCGUACACCCGCACCCAUCCCUGCUGCUGGCAAAACGAGUCCAUCAAAAUCCCAUCGACCACAGGGUCUAAAGAAAGCAUGCCUCCCUGAACCGAGUCCACGUCGCCACCGGUUACCGAAUCCGUCUCCAUGCUCGAUACACCUCCACGGUAACGUCCAGCCCAUGCCAAAUACUCUGCACAGUCCAGCUUAUCAUAACGUCGAGCCACAUCAACAGCCUUUUCUCCACGGAAAUUAAUAGCUUGAAAAUCAGCGUUGAGCUCAACCAGGGUUUUCAGGGUGUCCAGCUGACCCCACAUGGCAGAACAAUGCAAUGGAUGGUGGACCAAAUCAAAUCCUGGUGCUCCAGUUUCCCCCACAGUCCAAAAACAUGAAUUGGUGAAUGAGAGUGUAUGGAUGUUUUCCAGUGAUGGGUUGCAGCUGAAAGGGUAUCUACUGCUUAAAACAUAUGCUGGAUAAGUUGGCGGUUCAUUCCACUGUGUCGACCCCAGAUUAAUAAAGGGACUAAGCCGAAAAGAAAAUGAAUGAAUGAAUACAAAAUAGAAAUAACUAGAAAUUACAUUAAAGGGAAAAGAGGACAUUGUUUUUCAUCCAUUAAUUUUCCUUUCCAUUAGUCCCUUAAUUCAUAAGGGGUCACCUUAGUGGAAAGAACCACCAACUUUUCCAGCAUAUGUUUUACAGGUGAUGCCCUUCCAGCAGCAAUUAAGAAUCCAUACACACUCAUAUGGCCAUUUAGUUUAUACAGUUCACCUAUAUCACAUGUCUUUGGACUGUGGGGGAAACCGAAAUGAAACCCAAGCGAACACGGGAGAACAUGCAAGCUACACACUGAAAUGUCAACUGACCCAGCCAGGACUCAAACCAGCAACCUUCCUGCUGUGAGGCGACAGUGGUAUCCAAUGAGCCACUGUGUCGCCGACACUAUUUUUUUUAAAUUAGAUUUUGUUAUUGGACAGAAGAUCAAUGGGAUAUACUCUUUAAAAUAUUUUGCAUAAACAAUACAAAGAAGUGUGGAAGC